rnacentral:rRNA from 1 species
AUGGGGCCGGUUGAUAUCUUGAAAUUUCUUAAACGGCUAGAUUGUUUCCCUAAUGCCACUAUUGCAUAUAGAAUUUUGUUAACUAUUCCAGUGACCGUCGCAUCAACUGAGAGAAGUUUCUCCAAAUUGAAAUUAUUGAAGUCCUAUCUACGUUCAACAAUGACACAAGAAAGGCUCAGUGGGUUGGCUACUAUAGCAAUUGAAAAUGAUAUACUGGAGGGGGUUGCUUAUGAAGAUCUAAUUGAAGAUUUUGUAUCAAGAAAUGCUCAAAGGAUGACACGCUUUGGCUAA